CUACGGGGUGCACCAGUGGGGAAUAUUGCACAAUGGGCGCAAGCCUGAUGCAGCCAUGCCGCGUGUAUGAAGAAGGCCUUCGGGUUGUAAAGUACUUUCAGCGGGGAGGAAGGGAGUAAAGUUAAUACCUUUGCUCAUUGACGUUACCCGCAGAAGAAGCACCGGCUAACUCCGUGCCAGCAGCCGCGGUAACACGGAGGGUGCAAGCGUUAAUCGGAAUUACUGGGCGUAAAGCGCAAGCAGGCGGUUUGUUAAGUCAGAUGUGAAAUCCCCGGGCUCAACCUGGGAACUGCAUCUGAUACUGGCAAGCUUGAGUCUCGUAGAGGGGGGUAGAAUGCCAGGUGUAGCGGUGAAAUGCGUAGAGAUCUGGAGGAAUACCGGUGGCGAAGGCGGCCCCCUGGACGAAGACUGACGCUCAGGUGCGAAAGCGUGGGGAGCAAACAGGAUUAGAUACCCGAGUAGUC
rnacentral:rRNA from 1 species